rnacentral:rRNA from 1 species
UACGGAGGUGGCAAGCGUUGUUCGGAAUUACUGGGCGUAAAGGGCGCGUAGGCGGCUAGGCAAGUCAGGUGUGAAAGCCCCGAGCUUAACUCGGGAAUUGCAUCUGAAACUGCUGUGCUUGAGUUCUGGAGGGGGUAGUGGAAUUCCCAGUGUAGCGGUGAAAUGCGUAGAUAUUGCUCGGAAGGCCAGAGCCGAAGGGGCCCCAUUGGUACGUAACUGACGCUGAGGCACGAAAGCGUGGGGAGCAAACAGG